rnacentral:rRNA from 1 species
UACAGAGGGUGCAAGCGUUAAUCGGAGUUACUGGGCGUAAAGGGCGCGUAGGCGGUUAUAUAAGUGAGAUGUGAAAUCCCUGGGCUUAACCUAGGAACUGCAUCUUAUACUGUAUAACUGGAGUACUGUAGAGGGUAGUGGAAUUUCCGGUGUAGCGGUGAAAUGCGUAGAGAUCGGAAGGAACACCAGUGGCGAAGGCGGCUACCUGGACAGAUACUGACGCUGAGGCGCGAGAGCGUGGGGAGCAAACAGG